UACGAAGGGGGCUAGCGUUGUUCGGGAUUACUGGGCGUAAAGGGCGCGUAGGCGGUGUGUCAAGUCAGGCGUGAAAGCCCCGGGCUCAACCUGGGAACCGCGCUUGAGACUGGCACGCUCGAGUUCGGGAGAGGAUGGUGGAAUUCCCAGUGUAGAGGUGAAAUUCGUAGAUAUUGGGAAGAACACCGAUGGCGAAGGCAGCCAUCUGGACCGACACUGACGCUGAGGCGCGAAAGCGUGGGGAGCAAACAGG
rnacentral:rRNA from 1 species